rnacentral:rRNA from 1 species
AACGAACGCUGGCGGCGUACUUAACACAUGCAAGUCGGACGAGAAAGGAAGCUUCGGCUUCUGAGUAAAGUGGCGCACGGGUGCGUAACACGUAAGUAACCUACCCUAGACUCUGGGAUAACUCCCCGAAAGGGGGGCUAAGACUAGAUAGAGUACCUGAGGUGUAAGCCGCAGGAGGAAAACAAGCCUCUACACUAUGCUUGUGGUUUAGGAUGGGCUUGCGGCCCAUUAGCUAGUUGGCGGGGUAAUGGCUCACCAAGGCGACGAUGGGUAGCUGGUCUGAGAGGAUGAUCAGCCACACUGGCACUGAGAUACGGGCCAGACUCCUACGGGAGGCAG